rnacentral:rRNA from 1 species
AGAACGAACGCUGGCGGCAUGCCUAAUACAUGCAAGUCGAACGAACUCUUCGGAGUUAGUGGCGCACGGGUGCGUAACGCGUGGGAAUCUGCCCCUUGGUUCGGAAUAACAGUUGGAAACGACUGCUAAUACCGGAUGAUGACGAAAGUCCAAAGAUUUAUCGCCAAGGGAUGAGCCCGCGUAGGAUUAGCUAGUUGGUGAGGUAAAGGCUCACCAAGGCAACGAUCCUUAGCUGGUCUGAGAGGAUGAUCAGCCACACUGGGACUGAGACACGGCCCAGACUCCUACGGGAGGCAGCAGUAGGGAAUAUUGGACAAUGGGCGAAAGCCUGAUCCAGCAAUGCCGCGUGAGUGAUGAAGGCUUUAGGGUUGUAAAGCUCUUUUACCCGAGAUGAUAAUGACAGUAUCGGAGAAUAAGCCCCGGCUAACUCCGCGCCAGCAGCCGAC